UGAACGCUGGCGGUAGACCUAACACAUGCAAGUCGAACGGCAGCACAGUAAGAGCUUGCUCUUACGGGUGGCGAGUGGCGGACGGGUGAGGAAUACAUCGGAAUCUACUUUUUCGUGGGGGAUAACGUAGGGAAACUUACGCUAAUACCGCAUACGACCUACGGGUGAAAGCAGGGGAUCUUCGGACCUUGCGCGAUUGAAUGAGCCGAUGUCGGAUUAGCUAGUUGGCGGGGUAAAGGCCCACCAAGGCGACGAUCCGUAGCUGGUCUGAGAGGAUGAUCAGCCACACUGGAACUGAGACACGGUCCAGACUCCUACGGGAGGCAGCAGUGGGGAAUAUUGGACAAUGGGCGCAAGCCUGAUCCAGCCAUACCGCGUGGGUGAAGAAGGCCUUCGGGUUGUAAAGCCCUUUUGUUGGGAAAGAAAAGCAGCAGGUUAAUACCCCGCUGUUCUGACGGUACCCAAAGAAUAAGCACCGGCUAACUUCGUG
rnacentral:rRNA from 1 species